rnacentral:rRNA from 1 species
UGAGGAAUCUUGCGCAAUGGGGGAAACCCUGACGCAGCAACGCCGCGUGAGUGAGGAAGGUCUUCGGAUCGUAAAGCUCUGUCGGGUGGAAAGAAAUGUAUGGGGUUAAUAGCCUUCAUACUUGACGGUACCACCAAAGGAAGCACCGGCUAACUCCGUGCCAGCAGCCGCGGUAAUACGGGGGGUUGCAAGCGUUGUUCGGAAUUAUUGGGCGUAAAGAGCGUGUAGGCGGCUUGGCAAGUCAGAUGUGAAAGCCCUGGGCUUAACCCAGGAAGUGCAUUUGAAACUGCUUAGCUAGAGUAGGGGAGAGGGAAGUGGAAUUCCUGGUGUAGAGGUGAAAUUCGUAGAUAUCAGGAGGAACACCGGUGGCGAAGGCGACUUCCUGGCCCUAUACUGACGC